rnacentral:rRNA from 1 species
GACGAACGCUUGCGGCGUGCCUAAGAAAUGCAAGUCGAGCGAGGUUUAGGCUUCGGCCGACGACCUAGCGGCGAACGGUCGCGUAACACGUAAGCAACCUGCCCUAAAGUUGGGGAUAGCCCGCCGAAAGGCGGAUUAAUACCGAAUGUGGAUAUGUAUUCGCAUGUAUAUAUAUCUGAAGCAGCGAUGCGCUUUAGGAUGGGCUUGCGGCCUAUCAGUUAGUUGGUGUGGGUAACGGCCUACCAAGACGACGACGGGUAGCUGGUCUGAGAGGAUGGUCAGCCGGAUUGGGACUGAGACACGGCCCAGACUCCUACGGGGGGCAGCAAUUAGGAAUCUUGCGCAAUGGGCGAAAGCCUGACGCAGCGACGCCGCGUGACUGAUGAAGUCUUUCGAGAUGUAAAGGUCUUUUGCUGGGGACGAAGGGAGUGACGGUACCCGACGAAUAAGCCCCGGCUAACUACGUG